rnacentral:rRNA from 1 species
AGUGAACGCUGGCGGUAGGCCUAGCACAUGCAAGUCGAACGGCAGCACAGUAAGAGCUUGCUCUUACGGGUGGCGAGUGGCGGACGUGUGAGGAAUACAUCGGAAUCUACUUUUUCGUGGGGGAUAACGUAGGGAAACUUACGCUAAUACCGCAUCCGACCUACGGGUGAAAGCAGGGGAUCUUCGGACCUUGCGCGGUUGAAUGAGCCGCUGUCGGAUUAGCUAGUUGGCGGGGUAAAGGCCCACCAAGGCGACGAUCCGUAGCUGGUCUGAGAGGAUGAUCAGCCACACUGGAACUGAGACACGGUCCAGACUCCUACGGGAGGCACCAGAGGGGAAUAUUGGACAAUGGGCGCAAGCCUGAUCCAGCCAGACCGCGUGGGUGAAGAAGGCCUUCGGGUUGUAAAGCCCUUUUGUUGGUAAAGAAAAGCAGCAGGUUAAUACCCCGCUGUUCUGACGGUACCCAAAGAAUAAGCACCGGCUAACUUCGUG